UACGUAGGGGGCUAGCGUUGUCCGGAAUCUGUGGGCGUAAAGAGCGUGUAGGCGGUCCGGUAAGUCCGCUGUGAAAGUCGGGGGCUCAACCCUCGAAUGCCGGUGGAUACUGUCGGGCUAGAGUACGGAAGAGGCGAGUGGAAUUCCUGGUGUAGCGGUGAAAUGCGCAGAUAUCAGGAGGAACACCAAUUGCGAAGGCAGCUCGCUGGGACGUUACUGACGCUGAGACGCGAAAGCGUGGGGAGCAAACAGG
rnacentral:rRNA from 1 species